ACGCCACGCCGCGCCGUGGUCCCUGCUUUAGAAAAGUCCCAGGAAACGGCGAGGAGGAAGAAACCUUGGAAGCAGCGCCGUGAACGGUUCCCCACCCGAAGGAAGAGGCUCGUUCCCUUUUGGCUCCAGGACUAUUCGGGGCGGGCCUGCUGCCCUGAAACCAGCUCCAUCUCCCGAAGACCGAAAGCCGGGGUGUCGCUGGGACCAGGGGCGAGACGUCGAACACGUGGGGAGGAUGAGAAGGCGCUGGAGACGGAGGGUGUGGUCGCGGAUGGGAAUGUACUGAAGCCACUGAGCUGUGCGAGUAAAAAUGGUUGACAUUCUGGAGGCUGGAUGUCCAAGAUGAAGGCACUGCCAAACUCCACAUCUGGAGAGGGUGGUUUCCUGACUCGCAGACGACGUCUCCUCCCUGUGUCCUCACAUGGCCUCUACUCUGUGCGCACCUGGAGAGAGAGCUCCCCUGUCCCCCCCUCUUCUGAUGAGGUCACCAGCUCUAUCAGAAGAACUUUUUCUGAGAGCCUGUCAUGUCCAUGGAAAGCAGCUGAAUUAAAUCCUGGAGGUGACUGUCCCCCUAGGAGAUGACGUGGAUGGGGAAAUAGUCCAUAUGCAGCUCAGAGACCCUUGAAGCGGCAUCCGAGGAGGCGUGGUCACGGGGCAGGCGACCGACACCAGUGAGUCCAGAAGGCCAGCGUGUGCGCCGCUGCAUGUCUCCAGAAACUUCAGGAAACAGACACCAUGCCCGAGAGGUGAGAGUGAUUCCAAGGGUGCAGAAACAGGAGCAAGGGCUGGGGCUGGAAGGGAGGGUGGAAGCCAGGAGAGCCAGGCCUGCCGGGGGAGCUUAGGCAAACAGCUGAUCCCAGUGGAGCUUGGAGGGGAGGCUGGGUGCAGACACAAAGGCUGAUGGACAAACUAAAGGAAGCAUCAGAGAUUGUUGAGCAAGAAAGUGACCAAAAAAAGAAAAACAAUCUGGCGAUGGUGACGAUCCCAGACGAAUCUGCUUUUUCCAGGUUACUUUUCAACACGGUAGGCAGAGUCCUUUUUUUUGAUACAUAAAUAUUAUAUAUAUUUAUGGUACAUAACAUGUUUUAAAAUAUGUAUUCAUUGUUGAAUUAUGAAAUCAAGCUAAUAACAUAUGCACAGCCUCACAUACUUACCAUUUUUGUGUGGUGAGAACACUUCAACACUACUCUUAGCAAUUUUCUUUC